rnacentral:rRNA from 1 species
AUGAAAUCCAUACUAACUAGAUUCAAGUCCUCUUUGGGUAUGGGAAGUGGAUUCAAUAACCCUGGUUUCUUGAUGUGCUCAGACUUGGCUUGUUUGCAUAUGUCAUUUUUACUGGCCAAUGACAAGUGGGCUCGUCUCGCACGCUCGUUGGCUGGGUUGGCCGCGCCCGCAUGCAGGAGGUUUUCCCCAAUCCGCACCCCGUGUUCCCCAUCCAAUCCAUCCUCGCCUCAUCCCACUCCCGCACCAGCCACCACCCAAACCCUAGCCCCCUUUCCCCUCGAUCCCCACAGCCUCUCCCGUCUCCUCCAUCCCUCCUCCUUGCCUCGCCAUGGCCUCUGCCCUGGAGCCUCACUGCCGCCUGAUAUUCCUCGCCGCCCCUGCGAGCUCGGUGGCGGGAUGAACGGACAGGGGAGGUGGGCGGUGAGGGCUACUCCAUCCACCAGAUCCGUGCCGCUCCUGCCCAAAUCCUCUCCGCAUGCACCGCACCCAAUCCCGUCCUCGCUCAUCUCGUCCCAUGGUCAGCUCCCCAUCCUCCUGUGGUUCCCCUCCCUUUCUUCCUUCUCCUCCCUCACGACACGCCGCCUGUGUCCAUCCCGCGUCCUCGCUGCCGCAACAGCUUCUCCAGGAGGCUUGCCCUUCAUGCUACAAAGCAGCAGGCCCGGACCUAGAGGAGGAAGAGGAGAUCCCGGGGUCCAGGCGAUGGCUCGGUCGAUGCGAGGUGACGGCGAGCCGAUAAGCGUGGGCGUGUCCAUCCUGCGUCCUCGCUGCCGUCACAGCUUCUCCAAGAGGCUCGCCCUCCGUGCUGCAAAGCAGCAGGCCCGGACCUGGAGGAGGAAGAGGAGAUCCCAGGGUCCAGGCAGUGGCUCGGUCGAUGCGAGGUUCAAACAGGAGAAGAAGAACUAUCUUGCCUGCCUGAAAUUGAUAGGAGCUCAGCCUGAAUGUCGGAUGUUCUUGAAGAAAUACCUGGAAUGUAGGAUGGAGAGAAAUUUGAUAAGCGUAGAUGGCAGUUGCAGAGAGUAUGGGCAUAAAAGUUUUGAAGAAAUUUGUGAAGGAGAAGAAGUACUAUCUUGCCUGCCUGAAAUUGAUAGGAGCUCAGCCUAUGUCGGAUAUUCUUCAAGAAAUACCUGGAAUGUAGGGGGGAGAGCUAAACCUCUUAUUUGCUACAUCCAUAAUUCAAACCAGUUUAUGCGUGAUGAUUUAGGAUGGGAAGGAGGAUCCGACAAGUUAGCCCCCACAAUUGUGUUGUUGGAGAACUUCUGUGAGCUUAGUAAAAUAAUGAAUCUUCAUCUCCCAUGUUUUCUCUCGAAAAUGGAGCAGAUAUCGCAGAUCGCAGGAGCUGGUACCUCCUCUCUCUCCGGCUUCUCUCUUGUUUUGUGUGCUACGGGCUUCUUGCUAAUGGACAUCCUAUCAGUAGCACCAUGCCUCCUUGUCGCCCUAUUUGUCAAAAGCCUGGUACAACUAGUAGCAAGGUGCCUCCCCGUCAUGUUGUUCAUCGAAAGCUCUCUUAAUAGGAAGGCAUAUAAUGCUCAGUAA